rnacentral:rRNA from 1 species
ACGAACGCUGGCGGCGUGCUUCACACCUGCCAGUCGCACGGAAAGGCCCUGCUUGCAGGGUCCUCGAGUGGCGAACGGGUGAGUAACACGUGGGUGAUCUGCCCUGCACUUCGGGAUAAGCCUGGGAAACUGGGUCUAAUACCGGAUAGGAGCCAUUUUUAGUGUGAUGGUUGGAAAGUUUUUUCGGUGUAGGAUGAGCUCGCGGCCUAUCAGCUUGUUGGUGGGGUAAUGGCCUACCAAGGCGGCGACGGGUAGCCGGCCUGAGAGGGUGGACGGCCACAUUGGGACUGAGAUACGGCCCAGACUCCUACGGGAGGCAGCAGUGGGGAAUAUUGCACAAUGGGCGCAAGCCUGAUGCAGCGACGCCGCGUGGGGGAUGACGGCCUUCGGGUUGUAAACUCCUUUCGCUAGGGACGAAGCUUUUUGUGACGGUACCUAGAUAAGAAGCACCGGCUAACUACGUG